rnacentral:rRNA from 1 species
GAUGAACGCUGGCGGCGUGCCUAAUACAUGCAAGUCGAGCGAACAGACGAGGAGCUUGCUCCUCUGACGUUAGCGGCGGACGGGUGAGUAACACGUGGAUAACCUACCUAUAAGACUGGGAUAACUUCGGGAAACCGGAGCUAAUACCGGAUAAUAUAUUGAACCGCAUGGUUCAAUAGUGAAAGACGGUUUUGCUGUCACUUAUAGAUGGAUCCGCGCCGCAUUAGCUAGUUGGUAAGGUAACGGCUUACCAAGGCAACGAUGCGUAGCCGACCUGAGAGGGGGAUCGGCCACACUGGAACUGAGACACGGUCCAGACUCCUACGGGAGGCAGCAGUAGGGAAUCUUCCGCAAUGGGCGAAAGCUUGACGGGCAACGCCGCGUGAGUGAUGAAGGUCUUCGGAUCGUAAAACUCUGUUAUUAGGGAAGAACAAAUGUGUAAGUAACUAUGCACGUCUUGACGGUACCUAAUCAGAAAGCCACGGCUAACUACGUG